CUGUUGUUCAUUCGCAACCUCCCGAGCUGGCCUCGAUCCAUGGCCUCUCCUUCCACCCAGAUCCGAUCCGUCACCGAUCGUCCGUGGCGCGAGCGCCGGGCCUCCUCCUCAAUCUCCUCGUUCUGCGCCGCCCCGAUUACACUGUGCACACGUGCUCCGGAGCCAUGGCCGCCUUUUGUCGAGCCGCGUGAUCGAUGUCCGACCGGCGCCGCGACCGGCCUCUUGCGCAGUUCCCGACCGUCGUCCCCUGUGCCUCCUCCCGCGUCUCCCCACCUCGCCUUUGCAGCACCGUUGUUGCACGUCUCCAGCGCCAUCUGCUGCAGCCCCGCAGUCAACCGCUUGCACGCCAUGGGCAGCGGCCAUGGACCAGUUCGACAAGACCAUGGUGCUUGCGGGCGGGAUGCCCCUCGCCGCCGGCAGGGCAGGGAAGAUGUGGGAGUCCCUGGGCACUCUUGUGUGACGCCUCUGCACUGCCUUUGAGGAGCACGAUGACUGCCUGGAGGCCAAGCUGUUUGAUGUGUCCGUCAGAAAUACAUUGAACGGACAAGUGCUGAACCGGUUCACUGACUAGCCUGAUUGAUUCAAUCCCCAUGUGCUUGUGUCAAUGCCUGCAAGGGAGCAAGCGUACUGGCGGGAUGGUUGGAAGGAGAGUAAUUUGCUACAAAGCUUAUUAUUUAUGGUUAUUUCCUGAAUCUCUGGUAUAAUAUACAAUACAUUAUGUAGAAACCAAAAUGAUGUUCAUAGAGAUCUCAGAAUUAGGUGAAUAUCAUUAUGCUUGUGUUAUCUUUUUCAUUUUAUGAUUUAGCACCAGUCGCCAACUAUGGUUACCGUGUGUGGCUUGAAUCCAAUAGCAUGUGAUUGAACAAAUGAACGAAAUAUAGGUGAAACAUUUAAUUUUUAGAAGAGAUGGGUGAUACGUACUUCCGUUCAAGUGUUCCCUAAAUUUUUUCAUAGUUUGCAUUGGGACACAGUAAUUGCUUAAAGCAUUUAUUUGACUGCAAUGUUGCUUGCCGGCAUCUCCGCCAUUCAUCUUGUCAUUGACAGAAACCCCAUCUUGUCACUGAUAGAACCCCAGGCUCUUCCACCUAUAGCAAACAAAUAAAAGGACUUGAUUUAUGGGCUUGUAAAUUGGUUGUAUCUACAUGGAAGGUUUAUGGAUUGUGAACCUUUUACUCCGUCUUAUCCUUAGGCUGCACAACAUUUACUUUAGCAAAGGUCUCUCUGUUGCUGAGAUUCUUAAAAAUGGAUGGGAGUCGGUGCAAAGUACAUGGACACAUUGGUGCGAUAUUUUAAAAUUGAGAAACAGCCUCCAAGCUACUUGUGAAGGUGUCAAUUUCUGCAUUGAUAAAGAUUCAAUUAUACUUCUGAUGGGAUUUUUUCUGUUAGCUGUCUCUACAAGAGAAUGAACUUGAGAAAUAUUAAUUUCUAGAUAAAUUUCUUUGGAAAGUGAAGCUUCCCCUGAAAAUUAAAGUUUUUCAUUGCUGGUUUUGAAAAAAUAAACAUACUAACUAAAGCCAAUUUAUUCAAAUGAUGUUUUCAGGGAGAUAAAACCUGUCAAUUACGUGGUAGAGAUUAGAUUAUUGGUGCAAAGGAAUCGGUAUUACAACAGAACUUGAAGCUGACGAGGAUGGUUGACGUUUGGUUUUGGUGGAAAGUCAGAUCAUUUCUCUAGCAUUCUGGCAAAUGGUAGUUUGCAGAUUGAUGAGUUGGUUCCAGUUCCUUUAGCAGGUACAUCACAUCUCAAUCAUAAUUCUGCCCCACUACCCAACAAAAAAAAAUACGACGGUGAUGUUCAUUGGUGCUUGGCCUCCAGAAGUGGGUUUGUCGGAUUUUCAUUUUCUUUGUAUAAUAAAUGUAAUACAUAACUCCUGGAGCCUAUGGAUUUUGGGGAGAUAGUGUAUGUACUGUAGGUUCAUUCUGUUUUCUCCUAAUGAAACUUGGGGUGUGUGCACAAUUACAGAAUUACCAAGGAGACAUUUUUCGGACAGAAAGAAAAUCUAAUAUUUGGUUUCCGUCCAUUUUCUACUUGCAUUAGCAUUAUAAAACACAAUGAAUGUCCCAGUGAUUAAUCACAAAUAAUGCCCCGGUCUAUCCAUAGUAGCAUAAUGGGCCAAUGCUAGAAUAAUUGACAAAUCUACAAUCUUUUUUUUUUGUAAUGGUGGUGUUAUUUCUGCUAGAAUGAUUGCAUUUUAUGUAAUAUUGCAAAUAUACUCUUGGUCGAUAGAAAUGAUAUCUCCCUGUUUGGUCUCAGUAGGAACAAAUGC
rnacentral:rRNA from 1 species